GCAAAUUACAAUCUGAGAUGGACCUGUUAGUAGGAAAGGAGACUAGAAUGAGCAGUAAUACUUUGCAUGAUGCAUCAAACCUGAAGUCAAGAUGUUUGUUAUUUAUUUGCACAAGGGAAUCUUGCAAAG